rnacentral:rRNA from 1 species
GAUGAACGCUGGCGGCGUGCUUAACACAUGCAAGUCGAACGAAGCACUUUAUUUGAUUUCCUUCGGGACUGAUUAUUUUGUGACUGAGUGACGGACGGGUGAGUAACGCGUGGGUAACCUGCCUUUUACAGGGGGAUAACAGUUGGACACGGCUGCUAAUACCGCAUAAGCGCCCGGCAUCGCAUGAUGCAUUGUGAAAAACUCCGGUUGUAUAAGAUGGACCCUCGUUGGAUUAUCUAGUUGGUGAGGUAACGGCCCACCAAGGCGACGAUCCAUAGCCGAACAGAGAGGGGGACCCGACACAAUGGGGCGGGGAAACAGCCCAAAAUCCUACGGGAGGGAGGAGAGGGGAAUAGUGCAAAAUGGGCGAAAGGCUGAAGGAGCGAAGACGGGUGAACGAAGAAGUAAUGCGGGAAGAAAAGCUCUAUCAGCAGGGAAGAUAAUGACGGUACCUGACUAAGAAGCACCGGCUAAAUACGUG